rnacentral:rRNA from 1 species
AGCUCUCCGGGUAGUGUGGAUGUUUAUUGGGCCUAAAGCAUCCGUAGCUUGCUAUGCAAGUCCCUUGUUAAAUCCACCGAUUUAAUCGUUGGAUUGCGGGGGAUACUGUUUGGCUAGGGGACGGGAGAGGCCGACGGUAUUUCCGGGGUAGGGGUGAAAUCCUAUAAUCCCGGGAGGACCACCAGUGGCGAAGGCUGUCGGCUAGAACGCGCCCGACGGUGAGGGAUGAAAGCUGGGGGAGCGAACCGGAUUAGAUACCCGAGUAGUCC